rnacentral:rRNA from 1 species
CUCAAAGGAAUUGACGGGGGCCCGCACAAGCGGUGGAGCAUGUGGUUUAAUUCGACGUCACGCGAGGAACCUUACCCGAUCUUGACAUUUACAAUUGACAGGCCUAAAGAUAGAUUCUCCUUGGGGCAGACUUAUACAGGUGCUGCAUGGCUGUCGUCAGCUCGUGCCGUGAGAUGUUCGGUUAAGUCCUGCAACGAGCGCAACCCUAUCUUGUUAGUUGCCUGCGAGUGAAGUUGGGAACUCUAAGAAGACUGCCGGAGUAACGGUGAGGAAGGUGGGGAUGACGUCAAAUCAUCAUGGCCCUUACGUCCAGGGACUACACACGUGCUACAAUGGCACGUACCAAUAGCUGCCACUCCGGACGUGAACCAAAUUAGAAAAACUUGUCCCAGUUCGGAUUGUAGUCUGCAACUCGACUACUUGAAGUUGGAAUCGGCUAGUAAUCGCAGAUCAGCCGUGACGCGGUGAAUACGUUCCCGGGUCUUGUACACACCGCCCGAUUCACCCAUGGGAGGUUGGGAGUGCCUGAAGUUCGUCACCUCAAGGACCGGGCUAAUGCAACUCUGUACGAGGACCGUGAGCUU